rnacentral:rRNA from 1 species
UUUUUUUAUAUUCUGCUCAGGCUGAACGCUAGCGGCAGGCCUAAUACAUGCAAGUCGGACGGGAUCCAUCGGAGAGCUUGCUCGAAGAUGGUGAGAGUGGCGCACGGGUGCGUAACGCGUGAGCAACCUACCUCUAUCAGGGGGAUAGCCUCUCGAAAGAGAGAUUAACACCGCAUAAUAUCAACAGUUCGCAUGUUCGGUUGAUUAAAUAUUUAUAGGAUAGAGAUGGGCUCGCGUGACAUUAGCUAGUUGGUAGGGUAACGGCCUACCAAGGCGACGAUGUCUAGGGGCUCUGAGAGGAGAAUCCCCCACACUGGUACUGAGACACGGACCAGACUCCUACGGGAGGCAGCAGUAAGGAAUAUUGGUCAAUGGGCGGAAGCCUGAACCAGCCAUGCCGCGUGCAGGAUGACUGCCCUAUGGGUUGUAAACUGCUUUUGUCCAGGAAUAAACCUAAAUACGUGUAUUUAGCUGAAUGUACUGGAAGAAUAAGGAUCGGCUAACUCCGUGCGAGCAGCCGCGGUAAUACGGAGGAUCCGAGCGUUAUCCGGAUUUAUUGGGUUUAAAGGGUGCGUAGGCGGCCUAUUAAGUCAGGGGUGAAAUACGGUGGCUCAACCAUCGCAGUGCCUUUGAUACUGAUGGGCUUGAAUCCAUUUGAAGUGGGCGGAAUAAGACAAGUAGCGGUGAAAUGCAUAGAUAUGUCUUAGAACUCCGAUUGCGAAGGCAGCUCACUAAGCUGGUAUUGACGCUGAUGCACGAAAGCGUGGGGAUCGAACAGGAUUAGAUACCCUGGUAGUCCACGCCCUAAACGAUGAUAACUCGAUGUUGGCGAUAGACAGCCAGCGUCCCAGCGAAAGCGUUAAGUUAUCCACCUGGGGAGUACGCCCGCAAGGGUGAAACUCAAAGGAAUUGACGGGGGCCCGCACAAGCGGAGGAGCAUGUGGUUUAAUUCGAUGAUACGCGAGGAACCUUACCCGGGCUUGAAAGUUAGUGAAGAGUGCAGAGACGCACUCGUCCUUCGGGACACGAAACUAGGUGCUACAUGGCUGUCGUCAGCUCGUGCCGUGAGGUGUUGGGUUAAGUCCCGCAACGAGCGCAACCCCUAUGUUUAGUUGCCAGCAUUUAAGGUGGGGACUCUAAACAGACUGCCUGUGCAAACAGAGAGGAAGGUGGGGACGACGUCAAGUCAUCA